CAAAAAGUAAUGGGGAUAUCAAAUAGAAUGACAAUUAACAUCUUAAGUUAUAAUAUGUACGAUCUUUAUCAGUGACUUGUAUCUGUGAAAAGGAUAAUGAAGCGAGCUUACCCUCUUCUAGUGCUGAAGUUAAAGUCAUUGUUACUGAAGAUUUGGGUCGGAAACCACAUUAUGUACUGAUAUUAUGGGAGUUAUGGAAACUUGAUUUUAAUUUCAUGAAUCAGCUACUGGACCUUGUCAAUCAGACUUAUUCUGGACCAUUUUCUAACAUGGAGUUCCUAAAGCAAAACAAACAUCUCUCUGGACAAAGAAUUCUUAAGGUUUUUAAUCGAUCCUUAUAUCAUCUUAUAUCACUGGAGGUUACAGAAUCAAACUUUUAUAAGCUAAUUCAGUUAUCUACUGGAAUUCAGACACUCAGAAAAUCAAAGGAAGAUUUUCUGGAUUUAUUAAAUUUUCAUAUUUUGUGCAAUGCGUGUAAAGUAAACUUUGAAAUACGCCAUAGUAGGAAUAUUA